rnacentral:lncRNA from 1 species
AUCUCCUUUUUCAUUUAUCUUAUUAUGAAAAUAACUUGAUUUUAUCGGGUUUAGAAGUUUGUAGAGAAACGACAAUUAUUUGAUUAACCAAGUAAGAGAACUUAUAUUCAAAUAAUUGAGGAGAAAAAUUGAAAAUUCAAAGUCAUCUCCCUUUUCGUUUCUUAUUAUAAAAUGAUUCAAUUUGUUUGUGCUUAGGUGGAUAGAAGUGACGAUUAUUUGACUAACCGAGUAAGAGAACUCGUAUUCGAAUAAUCAAGGAGAGGAGUUGAAAACUCAAAACCACCCCCCUUUUCAUUUCCAAAUGAAAUGGUAUUUGAUUGUGAUUGGGUAUUUUAAUUGAGUUUGGAAUAACAUACUCGACAUUGGAUCGAGGUUUUAAUUUUGUGUUUAGAUUUGGAUUUAUAGUUGGUGAAUCAAUCAUCUACUCGAUUAAUUAAUAACCGAAUAGGUCUCACUGUAAGAAAGCCCAAGAGUA